UGCACAAAAGAUUUGAAGCUUGCACACGGUAAAAACGAAUCGUCUGAAUUAAUAACAUUUUGUAUACUUUAAGCGUCAAAAUAGCCAUUUCAUAGCGGUCAUAUGUGUAUGAGCUGUCAAAAGGUUGCAGAAUGCGUAUUCAGAAGAGAAAUUGAACGUUUUUAAGAUAUUCAAAAGGUUUCUCUUUGAUUGCGGUACAGAAAUGCACAAUUCUGGGUUGAAACUUCUUAAACACCAGUCUCUGUGGUGUCCUGUAACGCCAGCAUAUCAAAUUUCAAAGGUCUUUCCGAACUAACAAACAUCGCCCUUGUUUUUUCAGCUUAUUCAGUUAAAACAAUAUUGGCUCGAGUGGCAGCCUACGGACCCGGCAAACAUUAUCGAAUCCCUCAGUGCGGACACCACCGGAUUGAACGUUAUUCCAUGCAUUCGGUCCCGAUCAGACAGGUUCAACAACAGAUAUAAAGCACAAGAUGAUAAGAAGCACACCCAAGAUUGGAGUUACCUGAAACACAUCAAGUAAUAACAUGUUUAUUUCACAUGU